rnacentral:lncRNA from 1 species
AAAACAUUGAUUUAAUAGCCAAGCCGAUGAACAAUAGGUCGGAAUAGAAUUAUACAUAUAAUUUUCACCAAAGAAAGGUUAACACUAAAACAAUGAUUGAAAUCCCAACGACGAAAAGUAAUGACAUGAACAGGGACCUAAACAACAUAUUCAUAAUAGAUAGAUACCUAGAUCUUUCAUGACUAACCAAUGGCAUUACCACGAGAUAGUAAACUCAAAGCCAUCGAGCCAAAACGUACGAGAUUAACAAUGAAUCAGAAAGUUAUAAUACAAAUAGGAAUGCAACCAACGAUAUAGCGAGAAUCAUUUCAAGUAAAUCCUACGGCUAUCAAAGCC